rnacentral:rRNA from 1 species
GACGAACGCUGGCGGCGUGCCUAAUACAUGCAAGUCGAGCGAAGCGGGGACGGGUGAGUAACACGUGGAUAACCUCCUAUAAGACUGGGAUAACUUCGGGAAACCGGAGCUAAACCGAAUCCUUAUAGAUGGAUCCGCGCUGCAUUAGCUAGGUGGUAAGGUAACGGCUUACCAAGGCAACGAUGCAUAGCCCACCUGGAAGGGUGAUCGGCCCCACUGGAACUGAGACACGGUCCAGACUCCUACGGGAGGCAGCAGGAGGGAAUCUUUCGCAAUGGGCGAAAGCCUGACGGAGCCACGCCGCGGGAGUGAUGAAGGUCUUCGGAUCGUAAAACCCUUUUAUUAGGGAAGCGGUACCUAAUCAGAAAGUCACGGCUAACUACGUGCCAGCAGCCGCGGUAAUUC